GGGCGCUUAGCUCAGUCGGUAGAGCACUUGACUUUUAAUCAAGGUGUCGUAGGUUCGAACCCUACAGCGCCUG
rnacentral:tRNA from 1 species